AGAGUUUGAUCCUGGCUCAGGACGAACGCUGGCGGCGUGCUUAACACAUGCAAGUCGAACGAUGAUGCCCAGCUUGCUGGGCGGAUUAGUGGCGAACGGGUGAGUAAUACGUGAGUAACCUGCCCUUGACUCUGGGAUAAGCCUGGGAAACUGGGUCUAAUACUGGAUACUACCUCUUACCGCAUGGUGGGUGGUGGAAAGGGUUUUACUGGUUUUGGAUGGGCUCACGGCCUAUCAGCUUGUUGGUGGGGUAAUGGCUCACCAAGGCGACGACGGGUAGCCGGCCUGAGAGGGUGACCGGCCACACUGGGACUGAGACACGGCCCAGACUCCUACGGGAGGCAGCAGUGGGGAAUAUUGCACAAUGGGCGGAAGCCUGAUGCAGCGACGCCGCGUGAGGGAUGACGGCCUUCGGGUUGUAAACCUCUUUCAGUAGGGAAGAAGCGAGAGUGACGGUACCUGCAGAAGAAGCGCCGGCUAACUACGUGCCAGCAGCCGCGGUAAUACGUAGGGCGCAAGCGUUGUCCGGAAUUAUUGGGCGUAAAGAGCUCGUAGGCGGUUUGUCGCGUCUGCUGUGAAAGCCCGGGGCUCAACCCCGGGUCUGCAGUGGGUACGGGCAGACUAGAGUGCAGUAGGGGAGACUGGAAUUCCUGGUGUAGCGGUGAAAUGCGCAGACAUCAGGAGGAACACCGAUGGCGAAGGCAGGUCUCUGGGCUGUUACUGACGCUGAGGAGCGAAAGCAUGGGGAGCGAACAGGAUUAGAUACCCUGGUAGUCAAGGGCGAAUUCGUU
rnacentral:rRNA from 1 species